rnacentral:rRNA from 1 species
UAUCAAUAAGCGGAGGAAAAGAAACCAACAGGGAUUGCCCUAGUAACGGCGAGUGAAGCGGCAACAGCUCAAAUUUGAAAUCUGGCGCAAGCCCGAGUUGUAAUUUGUAGAGGAUGCUUCUGGGCAGCGGCCGUUCUAAGUUCCUUGGAACAGGACGUCAUAGAGGGUGAGAAUCCCGUAUGUGACCGGCGCGCACCCUCCACGUAGCUCCUUCGACGAGUCGAGUUGUUUGGGAAUGCAGCUCUAAAUGGGAGGUAAAUUUCUUCUAAAGCUAAAUACCGGCCAGAGACCGAUAGCGCACAAGUAGAGUGAUCGAAAGAUGAAAAGCACUUUGGAAAGAGAGUUAAAAAGCACGUGAAAUUGUUGAAAGGGAAGCGCUUGCAACCAGACUUCGCGGUGGUGUUCCACCGGUCUUUUGACCGGUCUACUCGCCGCCGCGAGGCCCACAUCGUCUGGGGCCGCCGGAUAAGACCGUAGGAAUGUGGCUCCCUCGGGAGUGUUAUAGCCUUCGGUGAUGCGGCGUGUCCCGGGCGAGGUCCGCGCUUCGGCAAGGAUGUGGGCGUAAUGGUUGCCAGCGGCCCGUCUUGAAACACGG